rnacentral:sRNA from 20 species
GUCACGAACCCGCCGUUAACCGCGAAAGCGGUAUAACGGGGGCUUGAAAGAGUCCAAACGUGACCAGACUAAGUUCUUAGAGAACUCCGUUAUUUGGGUCAAGACACCUAAGAAUGCGUGCCAGUUUUUAGCUCUGUC